GGCCGAUUAGCUCAGUUAGUUGAGCGUGAUGCUAACAACGCUAAGGUCACGGGUUCGAUUCCCAUUCGGUCC
rnacentral:tRNA from 1 species